GACGAACGCUGGCGGCGUGCUUAACACAUGCAAGUCGUACGGUAAGGCCCUUUCGGGGGUACACGAGUGGCGAACGGGUGAGUAACACGUGAGUAACCUGCCCACAACUUUGGGAUAACGCUAGGAAACUGGUGCUAAUACUGGAUAUGUGCUCCUGCUGCAUGGUGGGGGUUGGAAAGCUCCGGCGGUUGUGGAUGGACUCGCGGCCUAUCAGCUUGUUGGUGGGGUAGUGGCCUACCAAGGCGGCGACGGGUAGCCGGCCUGAGAGGGUGACCGGCCACAUUGGGACUGAGAGACGGCCCAGACUCCGACGGGAGGCAGCAGUGGGGAAUAUUGCACAAUGGGCGCAAGCCUGAUGCAGCAACGCCGCGUGCGGGAUAACGGCCUUCGGGUUGUAAACCGCUUUCAGCAGGGACGAAGCUUUUUGUGACGGUACCUGCAGAAGAAGCACCGGCUAACUACGUG
rnacentral:rRNA from 1 species